rnacentral:rRNA from 1 species
UACGUAGGGGGCGAGCGUUGUCCGGAGUUACUGGGCGUAAAGCGCACGUAGGCGGUCUGCUAAGUUCGGAGUGACAGUCACCAGCUUAACUGGUGAAGUACUUUGAAAACUGGCGUACUUGAGAGCGAGAGAGGGACAUGGAAUUCCGGGUGGAGCGGUGAAAUGCGUAGAGAUCCGGAGGAACACCAAAGGCGAAGGCAGUGUCCUGGCUCGUUUCUGACGCUGAGGUGCGAAAGCCAGGGGAGCGAACGGG